GGCAGCUCCCAGUGUCAUGGAGACCACUGGAAGCUCAGGGAGCUGCUGGCACCCAGAAAGCAGCAGAAGAAAGAAGAGGCCAGUGGUCUUGGACUAGCUGAGCCAGUAGGGAUGUUUAUCACUGUGAUGUUUGGAGCGGGUUGCCGGGAGCUGGUGAACCCCUGGUGCAACCUGCUGAACUUCACGGUGCAUCUGAAACAGAAAGCUCGGGUUCCCCCAGGAGGAACCAUUGCCCUCCUGGCUGAAGAUGGGCACUUGGUGAAGUUAGAAGAGGAGACCACUCAGGCCCCAUCCAUGGCCUGUUCCCUGAUACAGGAACAAGUGACCUAUGUCCUGGUACAGAAGGGAAAGAUGGGACCCCUACUCACUAUGAGUCACUCCUGGACAACCUGGAUGACCAGUAUCCAGAGUUAGCAGAGGAGCUGUGCUGCCUCUCUGGCUUUCCAACCACAAGCAAUAGUCAGAGAAGACGCACGGGCAUUCGACGUGGCCACCGGGAACAAGGUCCCCCACCUUCAAGGUCUCGAAGGGUGACCUCCCUAUCAUCUAGAAACCGCUAACUGGAGCCAGAGCCAGGUACAGAAAAGCAGGUUCUAUGAGCCGGUACACCACAGCCAAGCUGGACUUGAAUCCAAGGGGACUGGCCCUGACCUCUGCUUUAUGAUCAACUGCAAACAGACAGCAAUCCAGCAGGACUCCUCUUCCAGGAUCUGGCGGUUACUAAGAAGUUACAUCAGCAAGAAGGGAAAGGUCACAGACAGGAUGUGAGAGUUGCCCCCCCCCCACUCCCCGAGCGCUUGAGAUCCCCACCCCACCCCAUUUGAGUGCAGAAAAAAGAACUCAAGGACAAAAUAAGAAGAGAAAAGACACAGAUGUUCCUGUGGGCAGAGACAAUAGGCUCCUCUUGAGGUUUUAGGUCCCAGGGGACCACUUGCAAAUACCUCUCCAGUCUCCCUGCUUAGGAGUGUCCUUGACUAUCCACAAUGCAGACAGAUAGGAGUUCCUCCCAUCCCAGAGGUUCAAGGACAGCUCAGGGUUCUAUAACAAGAUCCCCAACUCCCACAUCCUCUCUCCCACCUCCGCAAAGAUGAGGCAUAGCACAUUAACAAGAUAGCUGUUCCCCUAUCUCCCCUGAUCCUGCCCCCCCCCCCNNNNNNNNNNNNNNNNNNNCAACAGGGCAGUAAAUGGGCACACAGCAGGCUGUGGUCUAAAGUAAACUUUUUAAU
ensembl:antisense Gm867 predicted gene 867